rnacentral:rRNA from 1 species
UUCGGGUUGUAAAGUACUUUCAGCAGUGAGGAAGGUGGGUAUGUUAAUAGCAUACUCAUUUGACGUUAGCUGCAGAAGAAGCACCGGCUAACUCCGUGCCAGCAGCCGCGGUAAUACGGAGGGUGCGAGCGUUAAUCGGAAUUACUGGGCGUAAAGCGCAUGCAGGUGGUUUGUUAAGUCAGAUGUGAAAGCCCGGGGCUCAACCUCGGAAUUGCAUUUGAAACUGGCAAACUAGAGUACUGUAGAGGGGGUAGAAUUUCAGGUGUAGCGGUGAAAUGCGUAGAGAUCUGAAGGAAUACCGGUGGCGAAGGCGGCCCCCUGGACAGAUACUGACACUCAGAUGCGAAAGCGUGGGGAGCAAACAGGAUUAGAUACCCUGGUAG